UUUCGGCUAGGGGGCCAUCCCGGCUUACCAACCCGAUGCAAACUGCGAAUACCGGAGAAUGUUAUCACGGGAGACACACGGCGGGUGCUAACGUCCGUCGUGAAGAGGGAAACAACCCAGACCGCCAGCUAAGGUCCCAAAGUCAUGGUUAAGUGGGAAACGAUGUGGGAAGGCCCAGACAGCCAGGAUGUUGGCUUAGAAGCAGCCAUCAUUUAAAGAAAGCGUAAUAGCUCACUGGUCGAGUCGGCCUGCGCGGAAGAUGUAACGGGGCUAAACCAUGCACCGAAGCUGCGGCAGCGAACGUAUCACUUAAAGCGAUUCAGCGGGUUACGAUUGACGGAGCGAAGCGACGUCAAAGCGUAUACAAAGUCGAGUCGGUUUAAGGAUACGUUCGUUGGGUAGGGGAGCGUUCUGUAAGCCUGUGAAGGUGUGUCGUGAGGC
rnacentral:rRNA from 1 species